rnacentral:tRNA from 1 species
AGCUACUAUAGCUCAGGUGGUAGAGCGCAACAUUGGUAAUGUUGAGGUCACGGGUCCGACUCCCGUUAGUAGCUU